rnacentral:rRNA from 1 species
CACAUAGUUAGCCGGAGCUUCCUCCUGAGGUACUGUCAUCUUCUUCCCUCACGACAAUAGUUUACAAUCCGAAAGCCUUCUUCCUAUACGCGGCGUCACUGCGUCAGAGUUUCCUCCAUUGCGCAAUAUUCCCGACUGCUGCCUCCCGUAGGAGUCUGGGCCGUAUCUCAGUCCCAAUGUGGCCGUUCAACCUCUCAGUUCGGCUACUGAUCGUCGCCUUGGUAGGCCGUUACCCCACCAACUAGCUAAUCAGGCGCAAGCCCAUCUAUCAGCGGAUUACUCCUUUUCUAGCUGUAUCAUGUGAUACUACUAGCUUAUGCGGUAUUAGCAAUGAUUUCUCACUGUUAUUCCCCUCUGAUAGGCAGGUUGCUUACGUGUUACUCACCAGUCCGCCACUAACCGCUCUCAAUCUAAAAAGAUGAGUUAAGUUCGUUCGACUUGCAUGUCUUAUGUGCGCCGCAGCGUUUAUCCCUAGCACGAGUA